rfam:Chloroflexus aurantiacus J-10-fl, complete genome.
AGGUGUGCCGCGAACGGCAGAUACUUGCGGAACCCCGCCAGGACCGAAAGGUAGCAACGGUACGCGAGUUCCUCUGGGUGUUCGCGGCGCAUGCUUUUU